UACGGGGGGGGGCGAGCGUUGUUCGGAAUCACUGGGCGUAAAGGGCGCGUAGGCGGCCCGCACAAGUCUGCGGUGAAAACCCCCGGCUUAACCGGGGGCCGGCCGUGGAAACUGUCGGGCUGGAGGCUGGGAGAGGGCAGCGGAAUUCCCGGUGUAGCGGUGAAAUGCGUAGAGAUCGGGAGGAACACCGGCGGCGAAGGCGGCUGCCUGGACCAGUCCUGACGCUGAGGCGCGAAAGCUAGGGGAGCAAACAGG
rnacentral:rRNA from 1 species